rnacentral:rRNA from 1 species
GACGAACGCUGGCGGCGUGCUUAACACAUGCAAGUCGAACGGAAAGGCCCUGCUUUUGUGGGGUGCUCGAGUGGCGAACGGGUGAGUAACACGUGAGUAACCUGCCCUUGACUUUGGGAUAACUUCAGGAAACUGGGGCUAAUACCGGAUAGGAGCUCCUGCUGCAUGGUGGGGGGUGGAAAGUUUCGGCGGUUGGGGAUGGACUCGCGGCUUAUCAGCUUGUUGGUGGGGUAGUGGCUUACCAAGGCUUUGACGGGUAGCCGGCCUGAGAGGGUGACCGGCCACAUUGGGACUGAGAUACGGCCCAGACUCCUACGGGAGGCAGCAGUCGGAAAUAUUGCACAAUGGGCGGAAGCCUGAUGCAGCAACGCCGCGUGCGGGAUGACGGCCUUCGGGUUGUAAACCGCUUUCGCCUGUGACGAAGCGUGAGUGACGGUAAUGGGUAAAGAAGCACCGGCUAACUACGUG